UCCCUGUUACCAAGGCAGUAUAGCUAGAGAAAUUCAACUAACUAAAAGGGUUGCGCUCGUUGAUGGACUUAACCAAACAUCUCACGACACGAGCUGACGACGGCCAUGCAGCACCUGUCACCACGUUCCCGAAGGCACAGUCUCCUUUCGGAGUCCUUCGUGGGAUGUCAAGCCUGGGUAAGGUUCUUCGCUUACCGUCGAAUUAAACAACACGCUCCACCGCUUGUGCGGGUCCCCGUCAAUUCCUUUAUGUUUUAAGCUUGCGCUCGUACUCCACAGGCGGGAUGCUUAACGCGUUAGCUUCGCUACUACACGGGUCGAUACGUAUAACAGCUAGCAUCCAUAGUUUACGGCGUGGACUAC
rnacentral:misc_RNA from 1 species